CAGACACACUUCGAAAAGAAAAAAGGUCGACUCUCGUCCGAUCAUCGAUCUAAAUCCGCUCAGCCUGCCAUUGGUACCGCUUUUUCUGGGCUCUGAAGUGGAUAUAUGAUCUUAGAGCCAUUAGGACGGCCAUGUUUCCGGAGCUCAGUACAUGGCAGGCUAUGAAGCGGCCAUGUUUCCGGAGCUCAGUACAUGGCAGGCUAUGAAGCGGCCAUGUUUCCGGAGCUCAGUACAUGGCAAGCUAGGAGGCGGCCAUGUUUCCGGAGCUCAGUACAUGGCAGGCUAUGAGGCGGCCAUGUUUCCGGAGCUCAGUACAUGGCAGGCUAGGAGGCGGCCAUGUUUCCGGGUCCUGUUUCAUGUGUCGCUAUAUAAAAUGACAUCAUUGUGACGUAAUCAGUUCGCGUUCAGGAAGGUACAGGAAGAACAAG